CCGGAUAAAGCCCUUGGAUUUGAAAAUUAGUUGAACGGGUUCCUUUUUUUCAGCUCUCGUAGGCGUGUCUUCCAGGGAUUCCAUUUGAAACUGGGUUCUCAUCUCUUACCAGCACCCACGAACAUAAAAAAAAGCAUCGGCUCGCCUCCUCCGCCGCCGACUGACCGCCAAACAUGGCCGACGAUGAUCCCCGUGCUUCUUCCCUGGUGGGAGGCUUCAACCAGCACGUCCAUUGAUUCAUCAUCUCUAGUUUGCAAGCUAUGUCAUCGUCGGCGAAGAAAAUAGGACGAGGAUGAUUGAUCGGCCAAGUCUACUAGUACUAGCGUAAUGGCCUAUGGUGCAGGGCAAAGACGACACUGACGACAUGCGGUGGUGUCGGGCCUAAGAGCACAUAAAUCUACAUCUAGGCCCUGGCCACUAGCGACCGCUGAUGCACUUAGCCACUUACCCAAUGUAUUCAUGUUGUACACAUGUAAUAAAGUGGCUAGUACGUCCACGUAGAAAUAGUUAGGAGCUUGCUUUGCACUCACACAAUCGAGUCAUGAUUGUUACUGAUGAUCAAAAUUUCAUGUAUUUUUUUAUGCCUGAUGGGUUUACUA